rnacentral:rRNA from 1 species
GAUGAACGCUGGCGGCGUGCCUAAUACAUGCAAGUCGAGCGAAUGACGAGGAGCUUGCUCCUCUGAUUUAGCGGCGGACGGGUGAGUAACACGUGGGUAAUCUGCCUGUAAGACGGGGAUAACUCCGGGAAACCGGGGCUAAUACCGGAUAACAAAAGAAGAUGCAUAUCUUCUUUUUGAAAGUCGGUUUCGGCUGACACUUACAGAUGAGCCCGCGGCGCAUUAGCUAGUUGGUGAGGUAACGGCUCACCAAGGCGACGAUGCGUAGCCGACCUGAGAGGGUGAUCGGCCACACUGGGACUGAGACACGGCCCAGACUCCUACGGGAGUCAGCAGUAGGGAAUCUUCGGCAAUGGGCGAAAGCCUGACCGAGCAACGCCGCGUGAGCGAUGAAGGCCUUCGGGUCGUAAGGCUCUGUUGUUAGAGAAGAACAAGUACGAGAGUAACUGCUCGUACCUUGACGGUACCUAACCAGAAAGCCACGGCUAACUACGUGCCAGCCGCCGCGGUAAUAC